rnacentral:miRNA from 1 species
GCAGAUGCAUUCCAGCCAAUCAGCAGCAGACCCUCUCUCCCAGACCCUCCCACCUCCUGGACAGCUCACUAAGAAUGCAGCUUCAAAAUGGAUGCUGUCCAGGAGGUGGGAGGGUCUGGGAGGGAGGGUCUGCUGCUGAUUGGCUGGAAUGUGUCUG